rnacentral:lncRNA from 1 species
UGUGGCUGUGUCGUAGCUUCCUUCCCCGUGGUAUCACUCCCUCUGAUGGGCAAGAGGAGACACAAUACUUCCCAUUUAGGUGCUGGGUCAACACAAUAGCACCAGAAAUAAUCCCUUUUAAAUAUUUACAAUCAUAAACUGAUUAUAAUUUUUUUGUUCGCACCGGGGUUCGAACUCGGGACCUUCUGCAUGGUAAGCCAACGCUUAUACCACUAGACUAGCCAUGCUAUUAAACAUAUGCAGGGUGUAUAAAAAAAGUAGCCAGUCGAAAUAUCUCGACUAUGGAAGCGAUUUUCAAAAAACCCUGAAACACAUGUCUUAUUAUAUGAAAGGGGAAACUUUUUCAGGGGUGUUUCAUUUUCU